UACGGAGGGUGCAAGCGUUAUCCGGAUUCACUGGGUUUAAAGGGUGCGUAGGCGGGCAGGUAAGUCCGUGGUGAAAUCCCCGAGCUUAACUCGGGAACUGCCAUGGAUACUAAUUGUCUUGAAUAUUGUGGAGGUAAGCGGAAUAUGUCAUGUAGCGGUGAAAUGCUUAGAUAUGACAUAGAACACCAAUUGCGAAGGCAGCUUACUACACAGUUAUUGACGCUGAGGCACGAAAGCGUGGGGAUCAAACAGG
rnacentral:rRNA from 1 species